GGUACCUGAUUUGGGGUAGGUGACAAUGAAGAUGUCGUCGUCCCGCACGUUGCUAGUGUUCUCAGCCAGACUGAGGCUCUCCGGAGUGGGAAACUGAGUCACCUUCCAAGGAAGGAUCUUGUGCCCGUAGGCACCCUGAAAUCGUUCCUGGAUAAUGAAUCUUCCCCAACGUAAAUGUGUGCUACCUUCAAGACAGGAAGAGGAGGGGGAGUCGGGUGGGGGGCAUGGCCCCACCCCUGAGACCUAGGGAUACACAGAUGACCUUGAGAAAGAAGCCAGUGAAGGACACAAGCUCUACACUGCAGCAUUGAAGAUCCAGAGCCAAGAGGAGGAAAUGAGUGCUCAGCGAAACACUUGCAGCCAGCCCAUCACAGAAACAUGUUUCCAUCUUGUUUGUUUGUUUUUGAGUUAUAAUUUUUGUGUAGGCUUGCCUGAAGCUAGCUCUGUAGACCAGGCUGGUCUCGAACUGAGAGAUCUGACUCCCCAGUGCUGGGAUUAAAGGCAUAUGGCACCAC
rnacentral:lncRNA from 1 species